rnacentral:ncRNA from 1 species
AGAGCAUUGAGAGGAUCUUUACCUAGUACGAGAGGACCGGGAAGGACGCACCUCUGGUGUAUCAGUUAUCGUGCCCAAGGUAAACACUGGGUAACCAAAUGCAGAACGGAUAACUGCUGAAAGCAUCUAAGUACGUAGUAAGCCCACCCCAAGAUGAGUGCUCU